GAUGAACGCUGGCGGCGUGCCUAAUACAUGCAAGUCGAGCGAACAGACGAGGAGCUUGCUCCUCUGACGUUAGCGGCGGACGGGUGAGUAACACGUGGAUAACCUACCUAUAAGACUGGGAUAACUUCGGGAAACCGGAGCUAAUACCGGAUAAUAUAUUGAACCGCAUGGUUCAAUAGUGAAAGACGGUUUUGCUGUCACUUAUAGAUGGAUCCGCGCCGCAUUAGCUAGUUGGUAAGGUAACGGCUUACCAAGGCAACGAUGCGUAUCCGACCUGAGAGGGUGAUCGGCCACACUGGAACUGAGACACGGUCCAGACUCCUACGGGAGGCAGCAGUAGGGAAUCUUCCGCAAUGGGCGAAAGCCUGACGGAGCAACGCCGCGUGAGUGAUGAAGGUCUUCGGAUCGUAAAACUCUGUUAUUAGGGAAGAACAAAUGUGUAAGUAACUAUGCGCGUCUUGACGGUACCUAAUCAGAAAGCCACGGCUAACUACGUG
rnacentral:rRNA from 1 species